GGAGAUGCAAUCACUUUUCCCAAAAACUAUAGCUGGCCGAUUAGAGAUGCACAAUCAAAACCUUUUAUCACUUAGGAUCAAGCUCAGGAAUCCACCCAAGCACUAUAUGUUUGGGCCUCAAAGAUUCUCUUACGAAUUGGCCAGUUCUCAUGUUCAAGCGAUGUUGUGCUUCAUUCUUCUCAUAGAGAAUCGAACACAAGACCUCCCCAAUUUGAUGUAGGGAGAUGCACUCACUUUCCCCAAAAAUUAUAGCUGAUAGGAGAGGCACAAUUAAACCCUAUAUCACCAAAAAUAAGGCUCAAGGAUCCACCCCAAGCACUAUUCAUUUGGGCCUUGUGUUGAAGAUUCGCUUACGAAAUAGGUCCAUCCUCAUGUUCAAGUUAUGUUCCACAUCACUUGAUGAAAAUUCUUGAAACUUUUGUGCUAUUACAAUGUGCUACACAUUUGAAUUUGCUGAAGCCGUCAAAGGUGUACUUCAUAUUCAAUAUAUGGACUGUUAGAAUGCAGAAACUUGUGUGUUGGAUCGACCAUUACAAUACGGGUCUUCAAACUGAAUAAAUAUUGACAGCGUUUUGUUUGAUUUCUGGCAGCCUUAUCCUCCUCUGUGUGACAUUAAGGGCAGCUAUGUAUCGCAGUUUGAGCAUACAAUUCUACUUCGUCCGACUUGCAAAGAAGUGGUAUCCAGAGGUGAUGAUUAUUGAUGGAAGGUUUCAGUCUUGGAUUGAUAUUUACAAAAUGAUCGUAUGUCGGAUGUUUUUACAUUAAUCAAAUCAAAACUUGCUUAAGCUCUAUCCACUGUUUUCCUUUUGUGAUUCGUACUCGAGCUGGUUUUGUAGUAGCAACGUAAGGAGGCUGAAGUCCAUAAUUUUUGUUCGAAAAUACCCGACCAAUAUUUAAGAUAUGGGAUAUUUAACAGGACAAUCUUGGCCAAGUGCUUGUUAGCAAAAUCUCCUAUUCAGUCGGCCUUUAGCAACUGCUGGUGGAUAGGGAUUGGG
rnacentral:lncRNA from 1 species